CACUCACCCGCGCCUUCGGCGGGCUGCGGCGGCCCGACGACGCCGUUCAGAAUAGGGAAAUUUGGAUGCAGAGACACAGAGAAAAUGCCAUGUGAAGAUGGAUCAGAGACAGAAGUGAUGCGGCUGCAAGCCAAGGAAUGUGAAGAAUGGCCAGCCACCACCGGAAGCUAGGGGAGACGCCAGCACAGAUUCUCCCUGAGAGUAUCCAGAAGAAACCAACCCUCCAACACCUGGAUUUCAGAC
rnacentral:lncRNA from 10 species